rnacentral:rRNA from 1 species
UACGUAGGGUCCGAGCGUUGUCCGGAAUUACUGGGCGUAAAGAGCUCGUAGGUGGUUUGUCGCGUUGUUCGUGAAAACUCACAGCUUAACUGUGGGCGUGCGGGCGAUACGGGCAGACUUGAGUACUGCAGGGGAGACUGGAAUUCCUGGUGUAGCGGUGGAAUGCGCAGAUAUCAGGAGGAACACCAGCGGCGAAGGCGGGUAGCUGGGCCAACACUGACGCUGAUGCGCGAAAGCCAGGGGAGCAAACGGG